UACGAAGGGAGCUAGCGUUGUUCGGAAUUACUGGGCGUAAAGGGCUCGUAGGUGGCCAACUAAGUCAGACGUGAAAUCCCUCGGCUUAACCGGGGACUGCGUCUGAUACUGGAUGGCUUGAGUUCGGGAGAGGGAUGCGGAAUUCCAGGUGUAGCGGUGAAAUGCGUAGAUAUCGUAAGGAAGACCAGUGGCGAAGGCGGGUCUCUGGACAGUUCCUGACGCUGAGGCACGAAGGUCAGGGGAGCAAACGGG
rnacentral:rRNA from 1 species